rnacentral:lncRNA from 1 species
AAAAGAAGUAGAUUUGGUCUGUCAAUUUCGUCUGGGCCAGCUUAAUUUGAAGCCCAAAAAUUCCAAAUUACCCAAGCCCAUAAUAUCCCAGUCCACUACCCAAAUACCCAUUCCCCAAUAUUAAAACCCUAUCUCCUACACUCUAAAAAAUACACAUUAGAAACCUAAUAAAAAAACCACAUCUGACCAAAAGCACAUUAGAAACCUAAUAAAAAAACCACAUCUGACCAAAAGCGUCGUUCCCCCCUCACCCAUCUUCUUUUUCCUCACUUCUAACCUAAAAACACAAAAAAAAUCAAGACCCUCAUCUCUAUCCUGGCAACGGCACAGACCCCCCACCUCUUCUUUUCCAUUCCCUCGUUACCCUCACUCAACACUCAAUCACACACACAUACACGCCUGGACUACUGAGAGAAGAAGUUUGCACUUCAAAAUUUAAGAUCUAGAAAACUAAAAAAAAAUCGAAAAAAGGGAUUAAAAGGUUGUUUGAAUUUUGCUUCAUGGCUUUAUCGUUUCUGACUUUACAAGACUUUUUUCUAGUUAUAUGUUUGCUGGUUUGUUGCUGCUUCCGCUGGUGGAUCUCACUCUUUAUUCCAGACCUUGCUUGGUCAUUUAGUGUUAUUUUUACAGCUUCUAGGUAUGUAAAUUCUCACAUAUUCUCCUCUACUUGAGUCUAUGGUUUAAAUUUCGGAUUGCUCAUAUUGAGUUCGUGAUUGUUUACUCAGAUUUUGAUUGUGUUAAUUGCUUAUGGAUUGACUAUAUUUGAAUGUUUAGUAUACCUAUUCAAUUGUGGUAUUGUAAAAUGUCCUCUUCUGUUGCGCCAAUUGAUUGAUAUUGGCUCAUAUAAUGCUUAGGUCUAAUUUGCCGUUUAUGUAUAAUUACUGUGCGUUUUCAUUGUUAUUUUGAAUGAAGAUUGUUAUAUUCAAAAAGGUCUUCUUUGAUUUAUGAUUCAAAUAGCGCUAAGCAUAUGAGUUUCAUCGCCUCAAUUUAUUCAUCUGUUUUCUUGGAGUUAUGUACUUCUUUUAUGAAUUCCACUGAAAUCUUUUGGAUAAGUUCAUAUUAAUCGUUUGCUACUUUGGAUUAAGUGGCAUGCUUGCUUGAUACAAUUAUUAGAUUGGUGUAUUAAAUUAAUAUGGCAAUAAGUUUUGUUUAGCUAAUUGGAUUUUGUGAGUUGAUUUGUUAUAUUUGGAUUGGUUUGUGUUUGAUAAGCUUCAAGAGGAAUUGGGCAUGAACGUAAUGCUAGCCUUUUAUCCACAUUUAUUUCAUAAUUGUAAUAGUCAAAUCUUACACCUACCCACAAAUUACCUCCAUAAUUCGUGGCCUUACAAUAAUCUCAAAGUAGGAAGAACAAUCUUAUGAAUAUCGUAGUUUGCUAUAGGCGCGAUUAAUAAUGAUUUAUCGUGGCGAUGGGUACGGUUCCCGUGGCAUGGUCACGAUACAUAAUUCCAAAUUCGGGUGUGCAUUUCAUGUGACCCGACCACAACUUCGAAAAAUAAUAAAAAUGAACAUGUUGUAAAUCGCGGGUGCAUUUCAUGUGAUACGGUUUGCAAUGUGUACCAACACGAUAAGUGUACGACAAUCGUGGCUUGUUCUAGAAAUAAAUCCAUAAAUAAAUAAUAGCGGUUAAAAUGUUAAAAAUGCAUAAUAGGUUUAAAACAUGUAAUAAAUCAGAUAAUGAGGCCAAUUAUUAAUAGUUGAGCGACAGUGCUAAAACCACGAAACCCGGGAAUGCCUAACACCUUCUCCCGGGUUAACAGAAUUACUUACCCGGUCUUCAGUGUACGCGGACCAUAAAUAAGAGUCAAAUUUUCUCGAUUUGGGAUUUAAAAUAAACCGGUAACUUGGGAAACCAUAAAUUAUUCCAAGUGGUGACUCUAAAAUUAAAUAAAUAAUCCCAUUUCGAUUUAUGUCACUUUAAUUGGAAAAACUCCCUUAUACCCCUUAUUGGGUAAAAAGGAGGUGUGACAGCUCUGGCUACUCCGCUGAGGAAAUGAACCCAGAACAUCUGGUUCAAGGUUAAGAAUUCGAGCUUAGAAAUGUUAUAGUUGGCUUUUAUCUAUUAUCUGAUUUUUAUAUGUUUGAGCCUAAUGUGCUCAAUGCUACUUUUUACUGCUUUGAUAUUGUUUUAACUGUAUAUAAAACUGUCACGAAACCCUUCUUCUCUCUGAGUCUUCUAAAUCUUCUGGGAAGCGUGAGCUUCGCGUGACUUCUUUUCUGUUAGAGUCAUAUCCUAAUUUUAGAACGAGGUUCAGAUAAGUUGCAAAGCCGAUGAAGCUUCUGUAUUCCCGGUACUCUGCCCUCCCCCCUCCGGCUUGAGCUAUCAGCUCGAGUAAGCCAAGUCUAGAACAAUACACCCAGGUUUUAAACCUAGAAUGACAUAGCCUCAUGCUGGAUUCCUAGUAGGAACGCUUGUUUGCAUCACGUGCAUUUGACUUUGGAGACUCAACACAGGGGUUGGGUCCGUCUAGGACAAGUGUACCCAAAAAUUUAAAGACCAUCUUGAUGCAUCCUACGUGCUACUUGCGCAUCUAUUUGUUUCGGCUUGCAUGUUGACCGGCUUCUAGAAUAAGGAAGGAAAAUCAAAAAAAAAUAUUCAAAAAAAAAAAGAGUGAGAGGUAGGUAUUUGGAAAAUUCUGAAACUCUGCCAAAAUUUUGAAAAAAAAAAGAGAAAUAAAAUAAGCCAAAGUUAUCAAAAGUCAUGAUUCCCUGUUCCGUCAAAAUUGACCGAACUACGCGGGUCUGAUUCUCACCGGAUGUGAGAUACAUAGGCAAACCUAAUCGGUUCUGGCCCAUUUUUUUUAAAAAAAUCCAAAAUUUUUUUCUCUUAAUUCCUUCUUUAGAAGCAUUUCCUUAGAAAAUUACAAAAAAAAAAAAAAGAUUUUUAAACUAAAAAAGUAGUUUCCUUCUUUCUGAAGUCUUUCAUAUGGAAAAAAAGGAAAAGAAAAGUCAAUCAAAAAUCAAAAUCCAGAAUAUGAGUUUCCUUUAUUUUGAAGUAUUUUUCUCAAAAAUCCAAAAAAAUUAGAACCAAAAAAAAUAAUCCAAAAAAAUAUAUUCUUUUUCCUUUUUUAAAAGUCUUUCUUUCGUAAAUGUCAAAACAAAAAUUAAAAAAUUGAAGUCCAAUAAUAUUUUCAUUUAGAAGUACUUUUGUAAAUUUAAAAACAAAAAACUCAGAAAUCCAAAAUAUUUUCCUUAAAAGUCCCUCUUUCAAAAAUUAAGAGCGACAUCCAAAAUNNNNNNNNNNNNNNNNNNNNNNNNNNNNNNNNNNNNNNNNNNNNNNNNNNNNNNNNNNNNNNNNNNNNNNNNNNNNNNNNNNNNNNNNNNNNNNNNNNNNNNNNNNNNNNNNNNNNNNNNNNNNNNNNNNNNNNNNNNNNNNNNNNNNNNNNNNNNNNNNNNNNNNNNNNNNNNNNNNNNNNNNNNNNNNNNNNNNNNNNNNNNNNNNNNNNNNNNNNNNNNNNNNNNNNNNNNNNNNNNNNNNNNNNNNNNNNNNNNNNNNNNNNNNNNNNNNNNNNNNNNNNNNNNNNNNNNNNNNNNNNNNNNNNNNNNNNNNNNNNNNNNNNNNNNNNNNNNNNNNNNNNNNNNNNNNNNNNNNNGUAAAGUAAACAAAUGGAAGUUCACCCCUCGGCCACAGUAUCAACAAAUCCGCCCCUCGGGCAACAUCUCAGAACAAUACCAGCCCUUCGGGCUCAAUCUCACAUCACAAUGGGUACCCGCACUAACUGGGGUGUACAGACUCCUAGAAGGGCCCCUUAUGGCCCAAGCGCAAUAUCAAGCCACCUCGUGGCAUCAUCACUAGGCCCUCGGCCUCAUAUCAAUCAAGCCACCUCGUGGCGUACAUAUCUCACGCCCUCGGCCUCAUAAUCAGUAUCAAAUGUCUCCUCACAACAUAGGCCCUCGGCCUUACUCAAUCAAAAAUCCUCACAAGCCACUCGGGCUAUAGUAAAACAGUGUUUCUCGGCCCAAACAUCAUUUAAAAUAUCAUUUAUGUAUUAAAACUGAGUAAACAUGGCCGAAUACGAAAACAGUGGAAAAUAACAUGACUGAGUUCAAGUAUAUAGUCAAAACAGUGAGGAAAUAUCAAUAAAAAUCCCUGAAGGGUUCAAAUAGUUGGCACGAAGCCCAAAUAUGACAUUCAGCCCAAAUCAUGAUGAUAGCAAAUAGAUUUCAACCAAAUACGCGGUAAAAUAGCAUUCGGGAUGGACUAAGUGACAAUCCCCAACAGUGCACGACCCCUCUCUCGUCAUCCAGCGUGUGCCUCACCUCAAUAUAGCACUAAGAUAUGCAAAACCGGGGUUUCAACCCCUCAGAACAUCAUUUACAAUCAUUACUCAUCUCGAACUGGUAAAAUCUCUAUCUCGCGAUGCCUUUGCCCCUCGAACGAGCCUCCACUCGCGUCGAAUCUAUCGAAAAUCAGAACGAGGAUGUCAAAAUAAGCUAAGGGAACGAAGCCCAAGCGAAAACAAUCAAUAAAUGGCCCAAAUCCCGAAAUUACCAAAAUCCGACCCCCGGUCCCACAUCUCGGAAUUCAAUAAUUUUUACUUCAAUACGUUCCUUAUCUCCCCACGAGUUCAUACAUAUCAAAAGUUCUGAAAUCCGACCUCAAAUGGUCCUUCAAAUCCUCAAUUAAAGGCCUAAAUUCCCAAGCCCUAGUUUCCCCAAUUUUCACCCUUAAUUUCCAUGAUUUCUAGCCGUAAUCCAUGAAAUAAAAACAUAGUAACGAGCUUUAGGUCCAAAUUCCUUACCUCAAUGAAGUUCCCUUGAAAUCCCUCUUUCAAAUCACCCAAAAAGCUCCCAAGCUGAGAUAAAUAUGGUGAAAUAGCUCAAAAUUCGUGAACGCUACAAUUUAUACCUUCUGCCCAGUCAUUUUUGCAUCUGUGGCACAAUACCCGCUUUUGCGGUACCGCAUUUGCGGUUAUUUCUCCGCUUCUGCAGAUAUCACUUAGCUUAUGAUUUUUCCGCUUCUGCGAUCCCUCAUUCGCAUCUGCGAUAUCGCAGAUGCGGUCCAUCUCACCGCUUCUACGGUUCCUGACCGCCUCAUCAUUUUCUGUCUUCUACAGCUGCUCUUCUGCACGUCCGGUGUCGCACCUGCGGUCCCCAAUCCNNNNNNNNNNNNNNNNNNNNNNNNNNNNNNNNNNNNNNNNNNNNNNNNNNNNNNNNNNNNNNNNNNNNNNNNNNNNNNNNNNNNNNNNNNNNNNNNNNNNNNNNNNNNNNNNNNNNNNNNNNNNNNNNNNNNNNNNNNNNNNNNNNNNNNNNNNNNNNNNNNNNNNNNNNNNNNNNNNNNNNNNNNNNNNNNNNNNNNNNNNNNNNNNNNNNNNNNNNNNNNNNNNNNNNNNNNNNNNNNNNNNNNNNNNNNNNNNNNNNNNNNNNNNNNNNNNNNNNNNNNNNNNNNNNNNNNNNNNNNNNNNNNNNNNNNNNNNNNNNNNNNNNNNNNNNNNNNNNNNNNNNNNNNNNNNNNNNNNNNNNNNNNNNNNNNNNNNNNNNNNNNNNNNNNNNNNNNNNNNNNNNNNNNNNNNNNNNNNNNNNNNNNNNNNNNNNNNNNNNNNNNNNNNNNNNNNNNNNNNNNNNNNNNNNNNNNNNNNNNNNNNNNNNNNNNNNNNNNNNNNNNNNNNNNNNNNNNNNNNNNNNNNNNNNNNNNNNNNNNNNNNNNNNNNNNNNNNNNNNNNNNNNNNNNNNNNNNNNNNNNNNNNNNNNNNNNNNNNNNNNNNNNNNNNNNNNNNNNNNNNNNNNNNNNNNNNNNNNNNNNNNNNNNNNNNNNNNNNNNNNNNNNNNNNNNNNNNNNNNNNNNNNNNNNNNNNNNNNNNNNNNNNNNNNNNNNNNNNNNNNNNNNNNNNNNNGCUUUUGCGGUACCGCAUUUGCGGUUAUUUCUCCGCUUCUGCAGAUAUCACUUAGCUUAUGAUUUUUCCGCUUCUGCGAUCCCUCAUUCGCAUCUGCGAUAUCGCAGAUGCGGUCCAUCUCACCGCUUCUACGGUUCCUGACCGCCUCAUCAUUUUCUGCUUCUACAGCUGCUCUUCUGCACGUCCGGUGUCGCACCUGCGGUCCCCAAUCUGUAGGUGCGGAAAUACCAGAAGAGUAAAGUUCAACAACUGUAACAAGGUUUCAAACUCCCCGUCAACCAUUCAAAAUCAUCCCAAGGCCCCCAGACCUCAACCAAAAGCACAAACAUAUCCUAAUACCUUAUUCGAACUUGUUCCAAUCAUCGAAGUAUCUCAAACAACAUCAAAUCACCCAAAACAAAUUAAAUUCAAGCCAAACUUUCUAAAAUCUUCUGAAUUUCACUUUUGAUCCAAAAACCCAACCAAACCACGUCCGAAUGACCUGAAAUUUUGCACGUACAUCCCAAAUGACACAACGGAAUUACUACAACUUUCGGAAUUCUAUUCUGACCCAUAUAUCAAAAUCUCGCCUACCAACCGGAAAUCGCCAAAAUAUCAAAUUCGCAAAUUCAAGCCUAAAUCUACUCUGAACCUCCAAAACUCAUUCUGAUCAUGCUCCUAAGACAUAAAUCACCUCCCGAAGCUAACCGAACCAUCGAAACUCACAUCCGAGCCCUCUAACAGAUAAGUCAACAUCCUGUUGACUUUUUUCAACUUAAGCUUACUUAAAAGAGACUAAGUGUCUCAAACCUUACCAAAAUCAUUCCGGAUUCGAUCCGACCAACUCGAUACCACAUAACACGGAUAAACAAAACAUAAGGAAAGCAGAAAUGGGGGAAACACAUCGGUAACUCAUGAGACGACUGGCUGGGUCAUCACAUCCUCCCCAACUUAAACAAAUGUUCAUCCUCGAACGAGUCAAGACACAUACCAGAAGCCUCAAACAGGUGAGGAUAUCUGCUCCGCAUCUCCUGCUCGGUCUCCCAGGUAGCCUCCUCCACGGGCCGACCUCUCCACUGCACUUUCACUGAAGCUAUAUCUUUCGACCUUAACUUUCGAACCUGACGACCCAAAACAGCUACUGACUCCACAUCAUAAGUCAAAUUAUCAUCCAACUGAACCGUGAUGAAAUCCAAAACAUGAGACAGAUCCCCAAUAUACUUCCAGAGCAUAGAAACAUGAAAUACCGGAUGCACACUCGAUAAGCUGGGUGGCAAGGCAAGCUCAUAAGCCACCUCUCCAAUCCUCCGAAGCACCUCAAAAGGCCUAAUCAACCGAGGACUCAAUUUCCCCUUCUUCCCAAAUCUCAUAACACCCUUCAUGGGCGAAACCUUAAACAGAACCUUCUUACCAACCAUGUAGGACACAUCUCAAACCUUCCUAUCAGCAUAACUCUUUUGUCUCGACUGCGCUGUACGAAGCCUCUCCUAAAUCACCUUCACCUUUUCUAAGCAUCCUACACCAAAUCUGUCCCCAAUAGCGUAGCCUCACCGGGCUCAAACCAACCAACUGGAGAUCUACACCGCCUCUCAUACAAAGCCUCAUAUGGAGCCAUCUGAAUACUCGCCUGGUAGCUGUUGUUAUAAGCAAACUCUGCAAGCGAUAGAAACUAAUCCCAUGACCCUCCGAAAUCAAUGACACAAACAUGCAACAUGUCCUCCAAUAUUUGAAUAGUGCGCUGGGACUGCCCGUCCGUCUAAUGGUGAAAAGUUGUGCUCAACUUAACCUGAGUACCCAACUCUCACUGCACAGACCUCCAAAACUUCAAAGUAAAUUGAGUGCCCCUAUCUGAAAUGAUGGAAACUGGGACACCAUGCAAAUGAACAAUCUCCUGGAUAUAGAUCUCUGCCAAGCGCUUUAAAGAAUAAGUAGUACACACAUGAAUGAAGUGCGCGGACUUGGUCAGUCGAUCCACAAUCACCCAAAUAGAAUUGAACUUCCUCAAAGUCCGUGGAAGUCCAACAACAAAGUCCAUAGUGAUCAUCUCCCACUUCCACUCGGGAAUAUCCAUCUACUGAAGCAAGCCACCCGGUCUCUGAUGCUCAUAUUUCACCUACAGGAAAUUGAGAUACCGAGCUACGAAUCCCACAAUAUCUUUCUUCAUUCUCCACCACCAAUAUUGCUGCCUCAAAUCCUGAUACAUCUUCACGACACCCGGAUGAAUGGAAUACCGCGAGCUAUGGGCCUCCUCAAGGAUCAACUCCCUAAGCCUAUCCACAUUGGGCACACAGAUCCGGCCCUGCAUCCUCAACACCCCAUCAUCUCCAAUGGUCAUGUCUCUAACAUCAUCAUGCUAAACUCUGUCCUUAAGGACAAACAAGUGUGGAUCAUCAUACUGGCGCUCUCUGAUGCGAUCAUAUAAGGAAGACCGAGAAACCACACAAGCCAUUACUCGACUUGGCUCCGAAAUAUCUAACCAUAUGAACCGAUUGGCCAAGGACUAAACAUCAACUGCAAGAGGUCUCUCCCCAACUGGAAUAUAUGCCAAACUCCCCAUACUCACUGCCUUUCGGCUCAAGGCAUCGGCCACCACAUUGGCCUUUUCAGGAUGGUAUAAUAUAGUGAUAUCAUAAUACUUAUGCAACUCCAACCAUCUCUUCUGUCUCAAAUUAAGAUCCUUUUACUUGAACAAAUGUUGAAGACUACGAUGAUCAGUGAGCACCUCACAAGAUACGCCAUACAAGUAAUGCCAUCAAAUCUUCAAUGCGUGAACUAUGGAAGCCAACAUUAAAUCAUGAAUGGGGUAGUUCUUCUCAUUGGGCUUCAACUGACGAGAAGCAUAAGCAAUAAAUCUACCCUCCUGAAUCAAUACACAACCAAUUCCAACUCUCGAAGCAUCACAAUACACGGUAUAUGAACCUAAAGCUGAUGGCAAAACUAACACUGGAAUUGUAGUAAAAGUUGUCUAGAGCUUCUGAAAGCUCUCCUCACACUCGUCCGACCAUACAAAUGAAGCACCUUUCUGAGUUAACUUGGUCAAGGACGAUGCGAUAGAUGAGAAUCCUGGAAUAAAAUGGCGAUAAUAACCCGCCAAACCAAGAAAGCUGUGAAUCUUUGUGGCUGAGGACGAUCUAGGACAACUCUGAGCCACCUUUAUCUUCUUCAAAUCAAUCUGAAUACCCUCAUUGGACACCACGUGCCCCAAGAAAGCCACUGAACUGAGCCAAAACUCACACUUGGAGAAUUUUGCAUAAAGCUUCUCCUCCCUCAAUCUCUGCAACAUAACUCUCAAAUGCUCCGUAUGCUCCUCCUAACUACGCGAAUAUACCAGAAUAUCAUCAAUGAAGACUAUGACAAACGAGUCAAGAUAAGGCCAGAACACACUCUUCAUCAAAUGCAUGAACGCUGCUAGGGCAUUGGUCAGCCCAAAAGACAUUACCAAGAACUCAUAAUGACCAUAUUGAGUCCUUAAUGCGGUCUUAAGAAUAUCUGAGUCCCUGAUCUUCAACUGGUGAUAACCUGAACAUAGAUCAAUCUUGCAGAACACUCUUGCUCCCUGAAGUUGGUCGAAUAAAUCAUCAAUGCGAGGAAAAGGAUACUUGUCCUUAAUUGUUACUUUGUUCAAUUGCCUAUAAUCAAUGCACGUUCUCAUAGUNNNNNNNNNNNNNNNNNNNNNNNNNUAACUUUCUUCAACUCCGCUGGUGCCAUACAAUACGGCAGAAUAGAAAUGGGCUGAGUGCCCGGUACCAGGUUAAUACCAAAAUCAAUAUCCCUAUCUGGUGGCAUGCUCGCCAGGUCAGCAAGAAACACAUCGGGAAAAUCCCUCACAACUGGAACAGAAUCAAUACUAGGAGUCUCAGUACUGACUUCCCUCACAAAGGCUAGAUACGAAAGACAACCCUUCCCAACCAUAUGCUGCGCUUUUAAGAAUAAGAUCACUCUACUGGGAACAUAAUCAGUCAUACCUUGCCACUCAAUCCGUGGCACACCCAGUAUAGCUAAUGUGACUGUCUUAGCAUGACAGUCCAGAAUAGCACAACAUAGAGAUAGCCAAUCCAUGACCAAAAUGGCAUCGAAAUCCACCAUACACAAUAAUAAAAGAUCCACACGGGUCUCCAGACCCCCAAUAGUCACCACAAACGAUCGGUACACACGAUCUACAAUAAUAGUAUCACCCACCGGGGUAGAUGCAUAAAUAGGUGAAGCAAGAAACUCACGGGUGUACCCAAAUAAUGAGCAAAGUAUGAUGACACAUAAGAAAAGGUGGAACCGAGAUCAAAUAAUACAGAGACAUCUCUGUGGCAGACUGAAACAAUACCCGUAAUAACUGCAUCUGAAGCAAUAACAUCGGGUCUACCGGGAAGUGUAUAGAAAUGGGCCUGACCACUACUUGAUCUACCUUCCACUUGGGGGUGACCCAUAACUAACUGACCUCCACCCCUAUCUGGCUGGGAAGGUAGUGGUGAAGUAACUGGCGCUAAAGCCGAUGCUUGACCCCUCUGCUGAGAUGAGCUCGCAAGAUGAUGAUGGAACUGCCUCCACAUAAGACCCAUCUUACCACACUCAUAAGAAAUCCUAAGUUCUAGAGAAGGGGACUGAAGGGAACCCCUCGCACCAGAGUGACUAGAGAUGCACUCGGCAUAGAAGAGCCCUGAACUGAUGGAGCACGGGACAAACUCUAAGCUAGAAGGGCACUAAGUGAUGACUGACCCUGAUGAGAACUAUGAGAACCAUAACACGAUGACGCCCUAUGAUAACCUGGGCGAGCUAGCUGAGCAUGCCUGAAUGGACGACCUUUGCCAUGCUGAAACUAACCCCUCAAAGGAGUACCACUGUAACUACCAGAUCCUCGAGGCCUCUUGUCCUCCCUCUCCUCGCGCUCCUAGCAACGAACACACUCAAUCUCCCGGGCAAUAUCCAUAACCUCCUCGAAAGUAGGAACAAUCACUCUCUCUGGUCAUGAUAAUACGAAGCUGAUAAGUGAGGCCAUCCACAAACCUCCUAAUCAUCUAUCUAUCUGUUGGAACCAUCCAAAUAGCAUGACGAGCUAACUCAGAGAACCUCAUCUUGUACUGCGUCACACUCAUCUCUCCUUGACGCAGCCACUCAAACUCUCUAUACAGCUCUUCUGUGCGGGACUGCGGCACAUACUUCUCCAAAAGGAGAAUGGAGAACUGCUGCUAGGUAAGGGGUGCUACACCAACAGGCCUACACCUCUCAAAAGCCUCCCACAAAGUAAACGCAGCUCCAAAAAACUGAUAGGUAGUGAAAGAGACUCCGUUGGUCUCAAGAGUACCCGCUGUACGAAGCAUCCUCUGGCACUUAUCAAAGAAACCCUGGGCAUCCUCGCCCUCUGCACUACUGAAGGUCGGAGGCUGAAGCCUACCAAACCUCUCCAAUGUACGCUACUCAUCCUCCGUCAAAGCAAGAACUACAUAGUCCUAAGCAACUGCAACCGGCUGGGCUGGAUGUGCCCCCAACAUCUGAAGUCCCUGCACGACCUGCUCAGGUGUGGGAGCGGCGGGAGUCUGAUUGCCUCCCCCAGUCUGAGAAGUAGCUGUGGCUGUAGUGGCUGAAAUCGCUUGAGCUAGGCCAGUGCAAACUACUGAUAAGAUCAGAGCCAAGGCCUCCUGAAGACUCGGAAUCACAAUGGGCACAGCUGGUGCUUAAGCUGGUGUUGAAGGAGCGUCCAUAACUGGGACCUGAUCCUGAACUGGGGCAGCUGGUGGAUCUACAGGUGCUGCCCUAGUUGCUCUGCCCCUACCAUGACCACGGUCGCGUCCUCGGCCUCUGGUGUCCACAACUGGUGGUAUUGAUGGUCGUCCAUCCUGACUGGUAGUGCGUGUCCUCACCAUCUAUGAGAGAAUAAAACAACAGAAGUUUAGUACUCGGAUCAACAAAUUCGCACGACAAGGAUUUCAAGAAUAUGAAGUUUUUCCUAAAGGUGUUGCAACCUCUCGAGGAUAAAUACAGACGUCUCUAUACCGAUCCACGAGACUCUACUAAACCUGCUCAUGACUCGUGAGACCUAUGUAACCUAGGCUCUGAUACCAACUUGUCACGACCCUAAAUCCAGACCCGGUCGUGAUGGCGCCUCUCGUGAAGACAAGGCCAACGACACUUUCCAUUUUCCAAUUAUUAACAGUUAAGCAUUUAAGAAACGGUAUAAACAUGAUAAAAUAAAUUCGAAAUAACAAUGAUAACAUAAACACGCGGAAGAACAACCAUACACAGCCCUAACCGGGGUGUCACUAGUCAUGAGCAUCUAUAAGUCAUAAUACAAAUCCGCUAAGUCAAUAAACUAGUACAACUAUCUGAAAAGAGAUAGAAGUGAUAAAGGAGUAGAGACACGGGGCUGCGGACGCCAAUAGCUACCUCGUGAACUCCGAAUAUCCGCCUGAAGCUGGAGGGAUCAGCACUCGGGAGCGGAACCAGCUACGCCUGAAUCUGCACACAGGGUGCAGGGAAUAAAGUGAGUACUCCAACUCAGUGAGUAAAAAAUGUAAAUAACAACUGAAAGUAAGAGAACAUUUAAGGCACAAUGCAUUCUAUAAUGAAGCAGUAAAAUAGUAUAAAAGCAGUAAACCAGUGAAAAGUUAAGUAACAAUCCUUUUUCAACAAGUAAACAGGUAAUUGUCAGGCAGUUAAGGUAAAGUAAAUAAAUGGAAGUUCGCCCCUUGGACACAGUAUCAACAAAUUCGCCCCUCUGGUGACAUCUUAGAACAAUACCAGCCCCUCGGGCUCAAUCUCACAUCACGAUGGGUACCCACACUCACUGGGGGUGUAUAGACUCCUGGAGGGGACCCUUAUGGCCCAAGCGCAAUAUCAAGCCACCUCGUGGCAUCAUCACUAGGCCCUCGGCCUCAUAUCAAUCAAGCCACCUCGUGGUGCACAUAUCUCAGGCCCUCAGCCUCAUAAUCAGUAUCAAAUGUCUCCUCACAACAUAGGCCCUCGGCCUUACUCAGUGAAAUAUCCUCACAAGCCACUCGGGCUAUAGUAAAAAAGUGUUUCUCAUCCCAAAACAUCAUUUAAAAUAUCCUUUAAGUAUUAAAACUGAGCAAACAUGGCUGAGUAUGAAAACAGUGAAAAAUAACAUGACUUAGUUCAAGUAUAUAGUAAAAACAGUGAGGAAAUAUCAAUAAAAAUCCCCGAAGGGUUCAAAUAGUUGGCACGAAGCCCAAAUAUGGCAUGAAGCCCAAAUAUGGCAUUCAGCCCAAAUCAUGAUGAUGGCAAAUAGAUUUCAGUCAAAUACGAGGUAAAAUAGUCAUUCGGAACGGACUAAGUCACAAUCCACAAUAGUGCAUGACCCCACACUCGUCAUCCAGCGUGUGCCUCACCUCAAUAUAGAACUAUGAUGUGCAAAUCCGGUGUUUCAAACCCUCAGAACAUCAUUUACAAUCAUUACUCACCUCGAACCUAUCAAAUCUCAAGCUCGCGACGCCUUUACCCCUCGAAUCAGCCUUCCCUCACGUCGAAUCUAUCCAAAAUUAGAAUGAGGACAUCAAAAUAAGCUAAGGGAACGAAGCCUAAGCGAAAACAAUCAGUAAAUAGCACAAAUCCCAAAAUUACCAAAACCCGACCCCCGGGCCCACGUCUCUAAAUUCAAUAAUUUUUUCAUCAAUAGAUUCCUUAUCUCCCUACGAGUUCAUACAUAUCAAAAGUUCUGAAAUCCGACCUGAAAUGGUCCUUCAAAUCCUCAAUUAAAGACCUAAAUUCCCAAGCCGUAGUUUCCCCGAUUUUCACCCUUAAUUUCCAUGAUGUAUAGCCUUAAUCCAUGAAAUAAUAACAUAGGAACAAGCUUUAGGUCCAAAUUCCUUACCUCAAUGAAGUUCACUUGAAAUCCCUCUUUCAAUUCGCCCAAAAAGCUCCCAAGCCGAGAUAAAUAUGGUGAAAUAGCUCAAAAUUCGCGAAGGCUACAAUUUAUACCUUCUGCUCAGUCAUUUUUGCAUCUGCGGCACAAUACCCACUUCUGCGGUACCGCACUUGUGGAUAUUUCUCCGCUUCUGCGGAUAUCACUUAGCUUAUGAUUUUUCCGCUUCUGUGAUCCUUCAUCCACAUCUGCGACAUAGCAGAUGCGGUCCAUCUCACCACUUCUACGGUUCCUAACUCCCUCAGCAUUUUCCACUUCUGCGGCUCCUCUUCUGCACAUGCGGCGUCAUACCUGCGGUCCCCAAUCCGCAGGUGCGGAAAUACCAUAAGAGCAAAGUUCAGCAGCUGCAACAAGGUUUUAAACUCACCGUCAACCAUCCGAAAUCAUCCCGAGGCCCCCGGGACUUCAACCAAAAGCACAAACAUAUCCUAAUACCUUUUUCGAACUUGUUCCAAUCAUCAAAAUACCUCAAACAACAUCAAAUCACCCAAAACACAUCAAAUUCAAGCUAAACUUUCUAAAAUCUUCCGAAUUUUGCUUUUGAUCCAAAAACCCAACCAAACCACAUUCGGAUGACCUGAAAUUUUGCACGCACAUCCCAAAUGACCCAACGGAAUUACUGUAACUCUCUGAAUUCCAUUCCGACCCCUAUAUCAAAAUCUCGCCCACCAACUAGAAAUUACCAAAAUAUCAACUUUGUCAAUUCAAGCCUAAAUCUACUGCGAACCUCCAAAACUCAUUUCGAUCACGCUCCUAAGUCACAAAUCACCUCCCUAAGCUAAAUGAACCAUCAGAACUCACAUCCGAGCCCUCUAACACAUAAGUCAAUAUCCACUUGACUUUUUUCAACUUAAGCUUACUCAAAAGAGACUAAGUGUCUCAAACCUUACCAAAAUCAUUUCGGAUUCGAUCCGACCAACCCAAUACCACAAAACACGGAUAAACAAAACAUAAGGAAAGCAGAAAUGGGGGAAACGGAGCGGUAACUCAUGAGACAACUAGCCAGAUCGUCAGACAAUCCCUAUCAGAUUCGAUAAUAUUAAUUGAGUAAAAAGUAAACUGAAAAAAAAAGAAAAAUUGAGUGGAAAAAAAAGAGAAAAGAAAAAAGUGAAAAAAAAGAAAGAAAAAAGAGAGUGACAAAAAAUAAAAGAGUGACAAAAGAAAAGAAAAGAGAGUCCUAAAAAAUAAAAGAGCGACAGAAAUGAAAUGGAAAAAAAGUCAAGAUUGAUUAAAGAGAGGCAAAAAUAAAAGAAGAGAGGUACAUACUGAAAGAGGUUCGUUAAGGUCGCGAUGAAACAUGCAACCGUUCAAACACAAGGUAGAAGUAUUUAACUGUUAGGUGCAUUGCAUCCCAACAUGCGAUUUCCUAUAUGUUAAAUGUCUCAAAACUAACAAGGUUGUGGUGUGAUCAAAUUAGCUAGGUUCUGUUCAGGUGGUUGGUUUUGCUGGUAUGCGAUGAUGAACGCGCAACCUUGCACACGGCCACAACAUUAUACACAAAACCGAACUCCACCUCCCAGAAAUGCCUAUCCUUACCAAGCUCCAUAUAAUCCCUAAUCAAAUGUUCCCUAGUACAAUCCUCACCCAAGAGAGCCUUUCAAAAUGAAUCACUUCACCCCUAUUUGGGAAUCAUACUCGGGCUUGUUCCAAAAGCUAGUCAGGCGAGGUUUGCUGUAGCUAGUGGCCCCAAACCGGCCAAAGCCCGAGUUUCGCUCGCAUCGAGCUGAUGCUAGAUGUAAAUACCACUCUGGAGCAGUGGGACACAAUACAGAGGAUUGUUAGAUCCUCAAAAGGGAAGUUGAAAACUUGAUUGAAGCUGAAAGAAUCAUUCUCCGAGACGAAGAGGCUCCUGAUGUGAUGAACCAUCUGUUUCCUGCUUACCAUGAGGAAUUCGAUCCGGCACUGAAGGCCAUUGUAUCCAUCGCCAAGACAGAAGAAAAGCAAAAUGGCCGCCAAGCCUAAAAGUUCCCUAUCAGAUGAGAAUCUUGGUAGCAAGUCUUGCUAUACUUUCUGCGUCCGGAUUAUCUCGGGGUGUGAUCCUAAUGUUUUACUUUAUUAUCUUACUUUCCGAUGUAAACCCUUCUAUUUUUAAAAUUAAAAAAAAACACAAAAAAAUCAAAUAAAAUUAAUAUUUCAUCGUCUAGGAAUUUCUUUUUUCUUAAUCUUGUCACUUUUCUUAUUCUCUUUUUAGUUCUGUUAAAAUGAAAAUUUCAAUCACAUGACAUGCUUGCGGACUUCAUGCCCGUAUCCUAAAACAUUGUUAGACCUCGAAAUAAUGAAUCAAGAAUUAGAUUGCAAUGAAGAUAAGUUCAAGGAAAUAAAACAAAGAGUUGGAACAGCUUCAGGAAAAUUGGUUCCAGAUUGGAAAGGUCCAUACAUCGCAACAAGAGUACUGCCAAAAGAGUGCAUUGUACUUGGGACACAUCAAAGGAAAUGUCCCUAAAACAACUGUCAAUGCAAAUGCAGCCAAAAGGUACUAUGUUUGAUCCUUCAUAUAGUAUUAAUAUUCUCCGGUUGGGAUGACGAAGGCUUUCAUUCUCACUACCCAAACACCAUUAACCCUUUUGUAAACUAUUUGAGCUGGUUACUCUUCUUUAAUUACCCUCUUUGGAACCUAAAAAUGUUAUUGAAAAAAAAAUAAAAAAGGAGAAGAAAAGAACAAUAAAAAAAGAAGAAAAGACAAAGAAAAUGAAAAAAAAGAUAGGAAAAAGGAAACAAAAAAGAACGAGAAAAAAAAGAAAAUCAAAAACAAAGUUCCCUGAACUAUGUUUGACUUGAUUCCGAAAGGAUACGUAGGUAGCCUCUCUCUGGGGUUCAGUCACACCAAAAUAAAAAUCUAGAUUCCCAAAAAAAUAGAAGCUGAAACUGGGGCAGAAGUUAUAAUGGUUUGGCGAUGGUUUUCGCCUGAAAGGUUCCAAAGUUGUAAUUCAAUCCAAAUUCUUUUUAUCCCAAAUCCUAUUCAAGUCCUUCCGACCAAUAGAUAAAGAUUUCCAAUUGGAGGAUAUAGUUACUUGGACCUGAUACAACCAAAUGAGAGAAAUAAAAUGAGAGAGUCUUAUUGGUGAAAACCCACACGAGCACCGUGAGGCGACAGUAAACAGAGAAAAUAAAAAUGAGAGAGUCUUGUUAGUGAAAACUUGUAAAGAGCACUAUAAGGCGAUGGUGAGAAGAGAAAUGAGAGAGGUCAGCUCGUGAAAACCCGCAAAGGGCGCCCCUGAUCGAAAAGAGGAUCCUCAUAGCCAUCAGCAUCGACAGAGUCCUGGCAAGGUUUCUCAGAUUUUGAGGCAAAAGUUGUGAUGAAUUUUUGAAAGUCGGAUGAUUUACACAGAUCAGGCAUCCAGUCCAAAAGGUAUGUCAUAUUCAUUAAAGUCCGCAUGUACUCCAGAUAAGUCCUUCUUUCCUUUACCCAAAAGGGACACUUCUUGUUUUAAACUCAUUCUCCAUUCCAUUGUUUGUUUUCUUUGAAUCUCUUUCGGUCUAAAUCUGUUCCGAAACUAAGACAAACAAAGGAUGGUAAGACUGAUUUACAUGGUUCUCAUUUGAUACAAGUCAAUAUGCAAAAGUCACCAGUCUCGGGAGGGGCAUCAAGUCGACCUCGACUGGCCAUAGUGGCUGAUGUUUUGAAAUUGAAAACUCUUGGAAGGAGAAAAUCAAAUUGAAGUGCCUAUAAAAAAAUAAAGUUGAAAAGGUUGUGUCCCAUGCAGCUAACUAUUCCGGCAAAGGUUUGAAAAGCCAAGGUACCCCAAAUGCUUUGAAACUGAAAUUGGAAGAAAGAAACUAGAAAUGAAAGCCUACAAAGGCGAAAUAAAGUUGAAAGGUUAAGUCCUACACAACUAACCGUUGCAGCUAAGUUUGAGGAGCCAAAAGUUUCCCAAUGCUCCGAAGUUUUUAUAAAAAAAGAAAGAAAAGAAAAAACGAUGAAGAAGAAAAAUAACAAGUCAGAAAAGAAAGGCCUAGAAGGAAAAAUAAAGUCGAAAAAUUUGAGUUCCACCGACCAACCGUCAUGGCAAAGUCUGGAAAAACUAGAGGUUCUCCAAGGCCUGAAAUAAAAUCGGUCCUCAGGGAACAAGCAGUUGCAGUUGAGAUCUUCAUCAAAGAAGUCGGGGCGAGAUUAAGUGAUUGAAACGCUCAAGGCCACAAAACCAAGCAUUGUUUCAAAUUGACAAAUUGUUCUUUGUUUUGAAAAAAAAAAAUAGGAAACAUGUGCAAUCCAAAAGCAACCUUGCAAGAAGCAGGUGCGACCAAAAAGAAACUUCGCAAGGGCUAGAAACAGCUUUGCAGCAACAACCCAAAAAGGGAAGUCUCUUCCAAAAAUCUUUCCCGCAUUUACUCAUUCUCUAAAAUAAAAAAAAUGACAAUGAAAUGAAAAGAAAGAAAAGAAGAAAAAUUCAAAAUCAUGGUAGUAUAGGGUCUCCAAUCCCUAGCUGCGUCUUUUCCAGCAUAGGGUCUCACUCCCUAGUUGAUGCCGGCAUAACCCGAUGACUUUUCCAAUAUAGGGUCCCACUACCUAGUUGAUAACGACAUAACUUGGUGAUUUUUACAACAUAGGUUCCCACUCCCUAGUUGAUGCCGGCAUAACCCGAUGACUUUUUCCCACAUAGGUUCCCACUCCCUAGUUGAUGCCGGCAUAACCCGAUGACUUUUCCNNNNNNNNNNNNNNNNNNNNNNNNNCUUGAUGCCCGCAUAACCUGAUGCCAACAUAGGGUCACCACUCCCUAGUUGAUGCCAACAUAGGGUCUCCAUUCCCUAGUGUUGAUACCCAAUUUUCCCUAUAUAUUUUUAAUCUGCAUAAAUACCUUCAAAAUAACAUGUAUAUAUGUAUAUAUAAGCAUGCACAAGGUUUUUAUAAUUUUUCCCAUAAUUUUAAGGAUUUAAAUUGAUUUAUUUCCUUCCCUUUUAUUCAUAAAAUCUCCAAUAAUUAUCCCUCAAAUUAUUUUUAUGGUGAUUUAGUCAUUUAAUUCUAUAUUUAUGCCAAAAUAGGGUUAAAAUAUUUUUUAUGCAUUUAAUAAUUGCAUUUUGUAUUUUUAAAGCUAAAUUGCGUAUAAUUGCUAUGUUAGCCCCAUUAAUGUACAAUUACAUUUAUAUGCAUAAAAUUGAUCUCCUAUAUUUUUAAAAUGUUAAAUAUCUAUUUUAAAUCAUUUUAGUACAUGAAAUUAUUUCUUAGAAAUUAUUUAUCAUUUAUUAUAAAUUAUUUAAGGAAAAUUGGCUAUUUAAAAUAUAGCCAGAUUUGCAUUUCAAUUGUAGCCCAAUUUAAACCCAACCCCAGCCCAAUUUCAGAUUAAAAACACCUGGCCCAAGCCCUAAACCCGCCUACCCAACCAAAUGCCAUUUUAAAUCUUGGCCGUUGAUCUAAAAGAUCAACGACCCUCGUCUGUUCUUACCAUUUUUAAUUCCAACGACCCCUAACCCUAGCUCAUUGUUCAGAUACCGCCGCUUCUGUAUUCUAUCAUCUCCUUUCCUCUCUCAACCACUCAACCUAACCCUAGCUCCUUCAACCGCCGACCUUCUUCUCCGGUCUUCUUCGGUGAUCUUCCUUAAACUCCUAAGCCUCCAUUGGCUCCUCUAAUGAUAUGCUUGCCUUCUAUAAGGUCUUCAAGGGCCCUGGGCCACACCGACUUGCAUCUAGGGUUUGCUAUUUGUCUGUUCUUGGCUACUUCAGUGUGAUUUCAAGCAAAAUCAUGUUGUGCUUGUUACGAUCCUUGGGAUUCUAGACCAGCUCUUUCAUCUCUAUUUGGCUACUUUAGUAUUUUACACUGUUGUUGGGACUCUUUUAAAAGAAUCAUCGAUUUCAGUUUAAAACUUUGUUUAAACUGAUUCCUUAUGUUUAAACUUCCAUCUCUUGCAUAUUCCGACUGAUUCUAUGAUUUUACUGUCUUUUCAACUCGCCUAUGUUGAAAGCCCUAAUUUUCUGGACUUCUUCGUUUGGUUCUGUGUAUUAGCAUGACUGCUCGUUUCUUGUUUGAGUUUCUAUGACUAUCUUGCUUCGAAUAUGUUCUUACUAAGUUCUUAGGCUAAUUUAUAUCACCUCUAUGGGCUUAUGUUCAUUUUGAUUGUUCGGACUUGCCUCUUUCUAUCGAUACUGUUUAACCUGCAUGCUUGCUAGGUCUGGUUAUUCUUAUCUUCUCUAUUUAUAUGAUGAAUACAGAAUCAUGACUCCCUCUUUGAUUGAUUCUGGAUUCCCUAUUUUUUGGAUUUGAUUGAAAUACCUUCCUUUAAACCCUCAAUUUCUACCUCUUCUAUUCAAAUUAACUGAUUCGCCUACCUUGUCUGUUGUGGUACUUUAUUCUUACUGGCUAUUUCCUUAAUUAAAGUGUUCUAAACUUAGCCCUAAUUGUUUACCUUAUACUUACUGAAUUUGAAUCUUUUCUUAUUAGUCAUACACUGAUUUUUUUCCUUAUAUGCUACUUGUUCCUACCGUUUGAAUUGAUUCCCUUAACUCUAGGGAGUACUUGUCCUGAUUUUGCUCUAAUUGGUUUUGAGUUCCAUAAUCGUUAUGCUACGAUGAUUCUUGCCUUAUUUUACCUAAUUUUCAAACUACUAUAUAUACACACUCUCUCACUAACACAAACACACGAACACUUUGGUUCAAAAGCUCUCUCUUUCUCACACUUAAACUUUCCGCUCUCUCUCUCUCUCUCUCUCUCUCUCACUCUCUCUCACUCUCUCUCUCUCUCUCUCUUGUGCUACUUGUUACUAUUUUGAGUUAGCCGGCUGCAAGCCAAUGAUAAAUAUUGCGCUCUCCUACUCUUUCACUCUUGCUUACUGUCUUCUUUACUGGUAUGUUCUAAUUUCAAUUCAAGGUCCAAAAACAAUAUGGUUCUUUUAUUGCUUUAGUUCAUCCUCUUUCUAGUUUGCUUUUACUUAUGGUUUUGCUGUGAAACCUACAGUUAAUUAUGACAACUCGGCCAGUUGUCUCAUGUGUUACCGCUUUGCUUUUCCCAUUUCUACCUCUUUAUGCUUUUUUUAUCCAUAUUAUGUGAUAUCAGGCUGGUCAGAUCGAAUCCGGAAUAAUUUUGGUAAGGUUUGAGACACUUAGUCUCUUUGGAAUCAGUUUAGGUUGGAAAAGUCAACCGGAUGUUGAAUUAUGUAUUAGAGGGCUCGGAUGUGAGUUUCGAUGGUUUGGUUAGCUUUGGGAGGUGAUUUAUGACUUAGCAGCGUUAUCGGAAUGAGUUUUGGAGGUUCGAAGUAGAUUUAGGCUUGAAUUGGCAAAGUUGAUAUUUUGAUGAUUUCCGGUUGAUAGGUGAGAUUUUGGUAUAAGGGUCGGAAUAGAAUUCUGAGAGUUGUAGUAGUUCCUUUGUGUCAUUUGGGAUGUGUAUGCAAAAUAUCAAUUCAUUCGGACGAGGUUUGGUUGGGUUUUGAUCAAAAGCGUAAUUUUGAAGAUAUUAGAAUUCUUAGGCUUGAAUUCGAUGUGAUUCGGUGUUUUGAUGUUGUUUUGAUUGUUCCGAAGGUUGGAACAAGUUUGAAUGAGGUUUUAGGAUAUGUUGGUGCCUUUGGUUGAGGUCCCGGGGGCCUUGGGUGAGUUUCGGAUGGUCAAUCGGACCAUUUCAUGCCUUGGAGAAGUUGCGAAAUUGCAAGUUCAGCUGUUGCAAAGAUUCCUUCUCUGUGAUCGCGUAGGGCUUCUUGCGAUGGCAUAGAAGCUUUUGAGGGGGAAGUCCAUUUGUUCUUCAUGUUCGCGAAGGUUGAUCUGCGAUCGUAUAGAAUGGUGAAGUUGUUGAUCGCGAACGCGUAGUGAAGGUCGCAUUCACGUAGAGUUAAGUGGACCUGGGGUCUUGACUUGAAUUUGUUCAUUACGAACGCGGUAGGAAGUCCGCGAUCGCGUAGAGUUAGUUGCCUGGGCAUCACGUUUGCAGGGUGUCUUAUGCGUUCACAUAGAGAAGUUUUUGGGUGCUGAGAAUUUGUGUUUCGCGAUCGCGAAGGAUUUCCCGCGAUCGCAAUGAAGGAAAAUAGGCCUAGGCAGAAGGUUUAAAAGGUCGUCUUGUCCGUGAAUGUGAGGUUUAUUUCCCCCAUUAUUGGUUGUUUUGGAGCUUUUUGAAGGAGCUUAAAGAGGGAUUUAAGGGGAAUUACUUGGAGGUAAGAUUCUUGGACUUAAAACUCGAUUCUAACGUGAAUUCCACCUAAAUAAUCAUGGAAAUUAAGCCAAAAAUUGAAGAACUAGGGCUUGAAAUUGGGGACCUAAAAUUUGGGAUUUAAAGGGUCAUUUUUGGAUGGAUUUUGAUGUUUUUGAUAUGUAUGAACUCGUGGGCAGAUAAGCAAUCCAUUGAUGUGAAUUUUUUUUGAAUUCCGAGCUGUGUGCCCAGGGGUCGGGUUUUGGUAAUUUCGGGAUUUGUGCUAUUUAUUGAUUGUUUUCGAUUGGGCUUCGUUCCCUUAGCCUAUUUUGACUUCCUUGUUCUGAUUUUGGAUAGAUUCGAUGUGAAAGGAGGCCGAUUCGAGGGGCAAAGGCAUCGCGAGUUAGAGAUUUGACCUGUUCGAGGUGAGUAAUGAUUGUAAAUGAUGUUCUGAGGGUUUGAAACCCCAGAUUACACAUCAUAGUGCUAUAUUAAGGUGAGGCACAUGCUUGAUGACGAGCGUGGGGUCGUGCACUCUUGAGGAUUGUGACUUGAUCCAUCCUGAUUGAUAAUUCUACUGCGUAUUUGACUGAAAUCUAUUUGUUGUCAUUAUUAUUUGGGUUGAAUGCCGUAUUUGGGCCUUGUGCCAACUAUUUGAACCCUUCGCGGAAUUUUAUUGGUAUUUCCUCACUGAUUUGACUUUAUACUUGAACUCAGUCAUGUUAUUUUCCACUAUUUUCAUACUCAGUCAUGUUUACUCAGUUUUAAUACAUAAAUGAUAUUUUAAAUGAUGUUUGGGCUGAGAAACACUGUUUUACUAUUGCCCAAGUGGCUUGUGAGGAUUUUGACUGAGUGAGGCCGAGGGCCUAUGUUGUGAGGAAACAUUUGAUACUGAUUAUGAGGCCGAGGGCCUGAGAUAUGUACGCCACGAGGUGGCUUGAUUGAUAUGAGGCCGAGGGCCUAGUGAUGACGCCACGAGGUGGCUUGCUAUUGCGCUUGGGACAGGGGCCCCUCUAGGAGUCUAUACACCCCCAGUGAGCGCUGGUACCCAUUGUGAUGUGAGAUUGAGCCCGAUGGGCUGGUAUUGUUCUAUGUGAUUGCCCGAGGGGCUGGUACUGUUCUGGUAUGUUGCUCGAGGGGCAGAUUUUUGAUACUGUGCCCGAGGGGCGAGCCUUUAUGUGUUUACUUUUCAUAAUUGACUGUCAAUCACCUGCUUAAUUAUUGAAAAAGGCUUUCUCAUGAAACUACAUUGGAGUUAAAGGAUUUUAAGUAUCUUUCACUGAUUCACUAAUUUUAAAUGGUUUUACUUCCUCAUUAUAGAAUGUUAUGUGCCGUACGUGAUUACUUGCUUUUAGUCUUUAUUUACCUUUGUUACUCACUGAGUUGGAGUACUGACAUUACUCCCUGCACCCCUGUGUGCAGAUUCAGGCGUUGUGGAUCCUGCAAGUGUAAGUUGAGAGCUCCUAGCACAUAUUAGAGACCACGAGGUAGUUGUUUGAUGUCCGUAGUCAUGUGUUUCUCCCUCUUUAUCAUUUCUAUCUUGUAUCAGACAUUUGUAAUAGUUAUAGACUUUUCAGACUUGUAUUAUGUUUUAUAGAUGCUCUUGACUAGUGACACCCUGGUAUCGAGCUGUGUUGGGUUGUUCUUCCGCGUAUUUAUGAUAUUAUCUGCUACUUUGGAUUAUUUUAUCAUGUUUCGACUAUUUCUAAAUGCUUAAUUGUUAAUAAAAUUGGAAAAUCGGAAGUGUCGGUUGGCCUUGUCUUCACGAGAGGUGCCAUCACGAUCGGGUCCGGGUUUAGGUCGUGACAAGUUGGUAUCAGAGCCUAGGUUACAUAUGUCUCAUGAGGCAUGAGCAGGUUUAGUAGUGUCUCAG